CCAGUGGGCAGCCUCUAUGAGGUCACUGGGUCUGUUACCCAACAUUCCCUGUUGCCAUGACAACGGAGCCCAAGCAGCCUGAGCUCCAACCAGGUGGGGACAGCUGCCCAGGACGGGUGAUGUCAGGUCGGGCUUCUGGGAUGUGGCUGCAGGACUCAAAUCCCCACCCAAGGCAUCGAACGAGGGGACUUGGCGCAAUCUGCAGAGGAACCCUGGCCAGUCCUCUUGUGGCACAGAUUGGGGAAGUGAUGUUCUAGGCCCCCCAGGCUGAGAUUGGAGCCAGGCCCUUAAACCCAAGUGAUCAGCAGCUUCAGGAGGCAAAGGAGCUCAAGAAUUCUCUGGCCUAGGGAGGGGCCCUACAGCCAAACACAAGUGGUCCAGGGAAUAAGAGACAGGGAGGGGGAGCAGGGGGAGGGAGAAGGGGGACCAGCAGGAGGGAGAAGGGAGGAACAGAGGGAGGGAAGGGAGGAACAGAGGGAGGGAAGGGGAGGAACAGAGGGAGGGAAGGGGACCAAGAGGAGGGAGAAGGGAGGAACAGAGGGAGGGAAGGGGGGACCAGCAGGAGGGAGAAGGGAGGAACAGAGGGAGGGAGAAGGGAGGAACAGAGGGAGGGAAGGGGGGUAAAGGGGGAAAGAAACCUCUGACCAGCCUAAGCCGAAGCAAAACUCUUCUGCAGACGAAAUCUGUCACCAGAACCCCCCUCCCCGGUGACCUUUAAACUUGCUUCCUCCCCUGCCAGGUUUCUGGGGGCA
rnacentral:lncRNA from 1 species